AUGGAUAUAGUUCAAUAGGUAGAACAUUUGUAUGUGGCACAAAACGUUCCCUGUUCAAAUCAGGGUAUCCACC